rnacentral:rRNA from 1 species
UACGGGAGGCAGCAGGGGGAAUAUUGCACAAUGGGCGCAAGCCUGAUGCAGCCAUGCCGCGUGUAUGAAGAAGGCCUUCGGGUUGUAAAGUACUUUCAGUCGUGAGGAAGGUGUUAAGGUUAAUAACCUUAGCAAUUGACGUUAGCGACAGAAGAAGCACCGGCUAACUCCGUGCCAGCAGCCGCGGUAAUACGGAGGGUGCGAGCGUUAAUCGGAAUUACUGGGCGUAAAGGGCACGCAGGCGGUUAAUUAAGUUGGAUGUGAAAUCCCCGGGCUUAACCUGGGAAUGGCAUUCAAGCUGGUUAGCUAGAGUCUUGUAGAGGGGGUAGAAUUCCAUGUGUAGCGGUGAAAUGCGUAGAGAUGUGGAGGAAUACCGGUGGCGAAGGCGGCCCCUGGACAAAGGACUGACGCUCAUGUGCGAAAGCGUGGGGAGCAAACAGGGAUUAGAUAC